UAACUAUUUUGCCUUUUUCAACUUUCUCCUCUUUCUUCCCUGAAUUGAUGUUGUUGUUAUUAUCGUGAUGAUGAUUAUGAUCUGGAUUCAAAAAUAUGAACGAUUCCUUUCCGUCGCUGCUGCAUCUUCGAAGAUGCAACAAAUCUAGCAAACGCCACCGUUGCUUCGACGAUGAUCCGGUGGAAUUGCUCUUUUUGCAUCUUGACGGCGAACGGUUAGGCGAAGGCGAUGGUGACGACUUUUGCGGCGUCCAAACACAAUAAGUUUCAGGUAAAAUUCCGUCUAAUUCGUACGCAUCAGUACCCGAAGACGAGGAUGGAGGAUCUCGAUCUUCAAUAAACAUAUUCUCCAAAGGUAAGCGAACUGUGGAUGACUUGUGAUCUUGGCUCUGGUCUUUUGACUCAUUUUCAUACUUCAACAGGAGAUCUCGAUCGAACAGCGGGAAAAUCGGAAAGGCGACCUUAUGAUCUUCGUCGGUUGCUGUACAAAAUUCGGGAUUUGCGCCGACCAAAACGAACUCGAAAUCAACGUCGUCCUCAUCGCUGCUACUGCUGCCGCUGCUAUGGUUGUCGUUUUGGUUCGUGAAAACAGUAACCAUAUUGUUCGCUUCCUCUUUCCCGACUUUAUCUGCGAUAUCAGCUAGUUGAUCAGAGGAGUAGCUAUUGAAACUGGGAGAAAACGACACCGUAGAACCUAGAUCUUGCAUUCGGAACAGCUCUUGAGUUUCCAUAUAGGUAGAAAGAAAGACAAAACGAUAAAAAAGAGAUUGCUCAGUUAGUUAGAGAACCGAAGAAGAAAGGGGAUUGUUGAGGCACGACAAAGGUGUGAAUGAAUAUUUAUACUCACGGAGAGUUGGGUGGAAAAUGAGCUUACGCGUGUGAUUAUCUAAGAAAUAUCAUUAAAAG
rnacentral:misc_RNA from 1 species